CUUUAUCACCCUGUUUCCCUGUACUUUACCGUAGGGGAAAAGUUAGACAAGAGAAAUACAUGACACAUCUUCCUGGCAUGGACUGCUAUGGGGAGUUCUUUGGAAAUACUGGAGAAGACAAGCCUCAAGUAGUUCGAAAAUGGAGCCCACUUCCUUCCCUGUGUUCCAGUAUCUCUUGGAAUUCUGUCCUAAACUCUAGCACAACUGGACUACACAUCUUGAGAAACCCAGUUGAAAUAGUAAAACUGUCUGUCUUUGGCUUCUACCGUGAUUUUUCUGGAAUCCUUAUAAAACUGGAGCAAUCACUUUUUAAUAAAAUUAUUAUAAA
rnacentral:lncRNA from 1 species